rnacentral:rRNA from 1 species
AUUGAACGCUGGCGGCAUGCUUUACACAUGCGAGUCGAACGGUAACAGGCCGCAAGGUGCUGACGAGUGGCGAACGGGUGAGUAAUGCAUCGGAACGUGCCCAGUCGUGGGGGAUAACUACUCGAAAGAGUAGCUAAUACCGCAUACGAUCUAUGGAUGAAAGCGGGGGACCGUAAGGCCUCGCGCGAUUGGAGCGGCCGAUGUCAGAUUAGGUAGUUGGUGGGGUAAAGGCUCACCAAGCCAACGAUCUGUAGCUGGUCUGAGAGGACGACCAGCCACACUGGGACUGAGACACGGCCCAGACUCCUGCGGGAGGCAGCAGUGGGGAAUUUUGGACAAUGGGCGCAAGCCUGAUCCAGCAAUGCCGCGUGCAGGAAGAAGGCCUUCGGGUUGUAAACUGCUUUUGUACGGAACGAAACGGCUCUGGUUAAUACCCGGGGCUAAUGACGGUACCGUAAGAAUAAGCACCGGCUAACUACGUG